rnacentral:rRNA from 1 species
GAUGAACGCUGGCGGCGUGCUUAACACAUGCAAGUCGAACGGUGAAGCAGGAGCUUGCUCUUGUGGAUCAGUGGCGAACGGGUGAGUAACACGUGAGCAACCUGCCCCUGACUCUGGGAUAAGCGCUGGAAACGGCGUCUAAUACUGGAUAUGUGAUGUGACCGCAUGGUCUGCAUCUGGAAAGAAUUUCGGUGGGGGAUGGGCUCGCGGCCUAUCAGCUUGUUGGUGAGGUAAUGGCUCACCAAGGCGUGUAGGGGUAGCCGGCCGGAGAGGGUGCCCGGACCAACUGGGACUGGGACACGCCCCAGACUCCUACGGGAGGCAGCGGUGGGAAAUAUUGCACAAUGGGCGGAAGCCUGAUGCAGCAACGCCGGGUGAGGGAUGACGGCCUUCGGUUUGUAACCCUUUUUUAGCAGGGAAGAAGCAAAAGUGCCGGUCCCUGCAAAAAAAGCACCGGCUAACUACGUGCCAGCCGCCGCCGUAA